rnacentral:rRNA from 1 species
CUUAGUACCCUCAGGAAAAGAAAUCAAUAGAGAUUGCGUCAGUAGCGGCGAGCGAAAGCGCAAGAGGGCAAACCCAGUGCUUGCACUGGGGGUUGUAGGACUGCAAUGUGCAAGAGCUGAGUUUAGCAGAACAUUCUGGAAAGUAUAGCCAUAGAGGGUGAUAGUCCCGUAUGCGAAAAACAAAGCUUAGCUAGCAGUAUCCUGAGUAGGGCGGGACACGAGGAAUCCUGUCUGAAUCCGGGUCGACCACGAUCCAACCCUAAAUACUAAUACCAGAUCGAUAGUGCACAAGUACCGUGAGGGAAAGGUGAAAAGAACUGAGGUGAUCAGAGUGAAAUAGAACCUGAAACCAUUUGCUUACAAUCAUUCAGAGCACUAUGUAGCAAUACAGUGUGAUGGACUGCCUUUUGCAUAAUGAGCCUGCGAGUUGUGGUGUCUGGCAAGGUUAAGCAAACGCGAAGCCGUAGCGAAAGCGAGUCUGAAUAGGGCGCUUAGUCAGAUGCUGCAGACCCGAAACGAAGUGAUCUAUCCAUGAGCAAGUUGAAGCUAGUGUAAGAACUAGUGGAGGACUGAACCCAUAGGCGUUGAAAAGCCCCGGGAUGACUUGUGGAUAGGGGUGAAAGGCCAAUCAAACUUCGUGAUAGCUGGUUCUCUCCGAAAUAUAUUUAGGUAUAGCGUUGUGUCGUAAUAUAAGGGGGUAGAGCACUGAAUGGGCUAGGGCAUACACCAAUGUACCAAACCCUAUCAAACUCCGAAUACCUUAUAUGUAAUCACAGCAGUCAGGCGGCGAGUGAUAAAAUCCGUCGUCAAGAGGGAAACAACCCAGACUACCAGCUAAGGUCCCUAAAUCUUACUUAAGUGGAAAACGAUGUGAAGUUACUUAAACAACCAGGAGGUUGGCUUAGAAGCAGCCAUCCUUUAAAGAAAGCGUAAUAGCUCACUGGUCUAGUGAUUUUGCGCGGAAAAUAUAACGGGGCUAAAGUAAGUACCGAAGCUGUAGACUUGCACACAACUUAGAUUAUUUAAGUUGAGAAUAUAAAAAACUAAGUUAUAUGUUUUAAGUUAUAUUUUUACUGAUUUUUAUAGAGUAAAGAUAGAAAUAAAACUUAGUAAAAUCAAUAAAAAUAUUCUUAGGCUAAAGUUAAGUAGUUUAAGUUGUGUGCAAGUGGUAGGAGAGCGUUCUAUUUGCGUCGAAGGUAUACCGGUAAGGAGUGCUGGAGCGAAUAGAAGUGAGCAUGCAGGCAUGAGUAGCGAUAAUUAAUGUGAGAAUCAUUAACGCCGUAAACCCAAGGUUUCCUACGCGAUGCUCGUCAUCGUAGGGUUAGUCGGGUCCUAAGUCGAGUCCGAAAGGGGUAGACGAUGGCAAAUUGGUUAAUAUUCCAAUACCAACAUUAGUGUGCGAUGGAAGGACGCUUAGGGCUAAGGGGGCUAGCGGAUGGAAGUGCUAGUCUAAGGUUGUAGGAGCUUAUACAGGCAAAUCCGUAUAAGAACACUCCGAGAACUGAAAGGCUUUUUGAAGUCUUCGGAUGGAUAGAAGAACCCCUGAUGCCGUCGAGCCAAGAAAAGUUUCUAAGUUUAGCUAAUGUUGCCCGUACCGUAAACCGACACAGGUGGGUGGGAUGAGUAUUCUAAGGCGCGUGGAAGAACUCUCUUUAAGGAACUCUGCAAAAUAGCACCGUAUCUUCGGUAUAAGGUGUGGUUAGCUUUGUAUUAGGAUUUACUCCGAAAGCAAGGAAACUUACAACAAAGAGUCCCUCCCGACUGUUUACCAAAAACACAGCACUCUGCUAACUCGUAAGAGGAUGUAUAGGGUGUGACGCCUGCCCGGUGCUCGAAGGUUAAUUGAUGGGGUUAGCAUUAGCGAAGCUCUUGAUCGAAGCCCGAGUAAACGGCGGCCGUAACUAUAACGGUCCUAAGGUAGCGAAAUUCCUUGUCGGUUAAAUACCGACCUGCAUGAAUGGCGUAACGAGAUGGGAGCUGUCUCAAAGAGGGAUCCAGUGAAAUUGUAGUGGAGGUGAAAAUUCCUCCUACCCGCGGCAAGACGGAAAGACCCCGUGGACCUUUACUACAGCUUGACACUGCUACUUGGAUAAGAAUGUGCAGGAUAGGUGGGAGGCUUUGAGUAUAUGACGCCAGUUGUAUAUGAGCCAUUGUUGAGAUACCACUCUUUCUUAUUUGGGUAGCUAACCAGCUUGAGUUAUC